rnacentral:tRNA from 1 species
ACCUCAGUAGUGUAAUGGAUCAGCACAGCAGAUCGGAUAUCUGAAAAUGCGGGUUCGAGAACCGUCUGGGGUU